rnacentral:misc_RNA from 1 species
AAAGUCGUAACAAGGUUUCCGUAGGUGAACCUGCGGAAGGAUCAUUAACACGUAUCCACGUAUCAACCCCUCUGUGAACACCUAGAAGCAGAAAGGUCUGGUCUUAGUGCAUUGUCCGCAUAAGUCCUAAUGAUGGCCCCCCGCAAGGGGGGAGGGCUGGGCAGUGUGUGUUUGACGAUCAACCGUUACCUUCCCAUUGUUGGCCUUUACAAUUUUUUAACCCCUUUGUACUUUUUGUACUGAACCAUUCUUUUGAUGCUCUUUCGAGAGUGACAAAAUGAUAUUACGAAACUUAAGAACAACUCUUAGCAACGGAUAUCUUGGUUCCC